AUUGAACGCUGGCGGCAUGCCUUACACAUGCAAGUCGAACGGCAGCACGGGAGCAAUCCUGGUGGCGAGUGGCGAACGGGUGAGUAAUGUAUCGGAACGUGCCCAGUCGUGGGGGAUAACGUAGCGAAAGCUACGCUAAUACCGCAUACGAUCUAUGGAUGAAAGCGGGGGACCGUAAGGCCUCGCGCGAUUGGAGCGGCCGAUAUCGGAUUAGGUAGUUGGUGGGGGAAAGGCCUACCAAGCCGACGAUCUGUAGCUGGUCUGAGAGGACGACCGGCCCAACUGGGACUGGAACACGGCCCAGACUCCUACGGGAGGCAACAGUGGGGAAUUUUGGACAAUGGGCGCAAGCCUGAUCCAGCAAUGCCGCGUGCAGGAUGAAGGCCUUCGGGUUGUAAACUGCUUUUGUACGGAGCGAAAAGGCUCUCUCUAAUACAGGGGGCUCAUGACGGUACCGUAAGAAUAAGCACCGGCUAACUACGUGCCAGCCGCCGCAGUAAGAC
rnacentral:rRNA from 1 species